rnacentral:sRNA from 1 species
AAGGAUAAGACGUCCGGUGCAUUCGUAUC